UCUAAUACCGGAUACGACACAGGGAGGCAUCUCCUCUGUGUGGAAAGCUCCGGCGGUGCAGGAUGAGCCCGCGGCCUAUCAGCUUGUUGGUGAGGUAACGGCUCACCAAGGCGACGACGGG
rnacentral:rRNA from 3 species